rnacentral:rRNA from 1 species
GAUGAACGCUAGCGGGAGGCCUAACACAUGCAAGCCGAGCGGUAGAGAUUCUUCGGAAUCUUGAGAGCGGCGUACGGGUGCGGAACACGUGUGCAACCUGCCUUUAUCAGGGGGAUAGCCUUUCGAAAGGAAGAUUAAUACCCCAUAAUAUAUUGAAUGGCAUCAUUUGAUAUUGAAAACUCCGGUGGAUAGAGAUGGGCACGCGCAAGAUUAGAUAGUUGGUGAGGUAACGGCUCACCAAGUCUACGAUCUUUAGGGGGCCUGAGAGGGUGAUCCCCCACACUGGUACUGAGACACGGACCAGGCUCCUACGAGAGGCAGCAGUGAGGAAUAUUGGACAAUGGGUGCGAGCCUGAUCCAGCCAUCCCGCGUGAAGGACGACGGCCCUAUGGGUUGUAAACUUCUUUUGUAUAGGGAUAAACCUAGAUACGUGUAUCUAGCUGAAGGUACUAUACGAAUAAGCACCGGCUAACUCCGUGCCAGCCGCCGCGGUAA